rnacentral:rRNA from 1 species
CAAUAGCGUAUAUUUAAGUUGCUGCAGUUAAAAAGCUCGUAGUUGGAUUUCGGGUGGGAAUGGCCGGUCCGCCGUUUCGGUGUGCACUUGCUACGCCCACCUUGCUGCCGGGGACGUGCUCUUGAGUUCACGCUCGGGACACGGAGUCGGCGAGGUUACUUUGAGUAAAUUAGAGUGUUCAAAGCAGGCCUACGCUCUGAAUACAUUAGCACGGAAUAACACGAUAGGACUCUGGCCUAUCUUGUUGGUCUGUAGGACCGGAGUAAUGAUUAAGAGGGACAGUCGGGGGCAUUCGUAUUUCAUUGUCAGAGGUGAAAUUCUUGGAUUUAUGAAAGACGAACUACUGCGAAAGCAUUUGCCAAGGAUGUUUUCAUUAA